rnacentral:lncRNA from 10 species
AGCUGGUUUGCCUUCUUCUCUCUGCUUUCAGAUGCUUGUUUUAUAGGCAGUAUCUAGGGUUUUUAGCCAUAUUUACUGGAAAGAAUAGGAAAAAACACAUCUACUCCAUAUUUCUGAGAGUUGAGGUGUCAUAGGUUGAUUUAACCAUGCCACUGAUGCCUUUAGCUCUAUCUGCCAUGCAGCAGGUAUCUUCUAGGUCCUUCAUGGGGACCAGGCACUAGUUGAGGCCAAAGAGGAGACAAAGACUGACUCUGACUUCAGGAGCUCACAGUUUUGCGGGAACACAGGACUUUGCCCCAGCUCACAGAAUAUCUUGAAGACUGGACCCAGAAAUCACGCAGGCACCAAAGGUAGCAGCUGGAUAGCCAAGACCACGAUGAAAACCAUGCUGCUGGAACAUCUGGGGGACACUGUGGCCAUCACCACCAUGUAGCCAGGCCCCAGGAUGCUGCUGCUGCCACCACUGCCAGGAUGAAUAGUUCACUGUCCUUGGCUUCUUGUAUCACUCACUACAGGCUCAAAGAGCUGGGUGGAAGCAUCUGAUUGGCUAAGCCUCCAGUUUCCAUUUCAUUUCUGUGCUGACUCGGUCAGUGGAGGAUUCCUAGGAAUUCCCAGGAUGAGGAAAGAUGCUGGAAAUUCAGUUGUUCUCAACCUUUACUGUGUUUUGCAGGUUCCCAAAGCCACUGGGGGCUGGGUGGGUAUCUUCUCUGGCACA